ACUCCUGCGGGAGGCAGCAGUGGGGAAUUUUGGACAAUGGGCGAAAGCCUGAUCCAGCAAUGCCGCGUGAGUGAAGAAGGCCUUCGGGUUGUAAAGCUCUUUUGUCAGGGAAGAAACGGUGAAAGCUAAUAUCUUUUGCUAAUGACGGUACCUGAAGAAUAAGCACCGGCUAACUACGUGCCAGCAGCCGCGGUAAUACGUAGGGUGCAAGCGUUAAUCGGAAUUACUGGGCGUAAAGCGUGCGCAGGCGGUUUUGUAAGUCUGAUGUGAAAUCCCCGGGCUCAACCUGGGAAUUGCAUUGGAGACUGCAAGGCUAGAAUCUGGCAGAGGGGGGUAGAAUUCCACGUGUAGCAGUGAAAUGCGUAGAUAUGUGGAGGAACACCGAUGGCGAAGGCAGCCCCCUGGGUCAAGAUUGACGCUCAUGCACGAAAGCGUGGGGAGCAAACAGGAUUAGAUACCCCAGUAGUCCCA
rnacentral:rRNA from 1 species